UUGGCUUUUUCAGCUUACAUUUUUCUUUAUCCGGUCCAACACAUAUCGCUGUCGGCUUCGUUUUCGGAGUUGUCUUCCGUCGUGGUUGUCUAAAGGGCCAUUGUCAGCGGCUUGACGUGCGGUGCUUUCCGUAACUUUUCUCUCUUUCUCCCCAGAACCCCCACAUUGUCAUCAUGCUCGACUACCUCAUCCCCAUCGGCAUGGCCCUAGCGGGCAUCUUCGUCAUGAUGUUCAUCUUCCAGAGCAUCAGCAAGUCAGAGGUCGGCGGUGAAUCGAUCGCACCCGCUCGCAAGCCGCGCUCCAAGAGGUCGCAGCGUCCGUCGCAGAAGUACACGGAAGACGUGCUUGACCUUGCCACGGAGCAGCUCAUUGCGCGCGAGGUGGCCCGCAACCCGUCUGGCAUGAUCACCGACAGCAAGAGGGUGGCGCCACAGACGCUCGACAACAUCCGCAGCCGCCGACAGGCCAGGGAGGAGGGCGAGCACGCCCAACCUCAUGCCAAGGCUAGCGAGCGCCAGAAGCAGUCGGCGAAGGACCAGGGCUUCAAGGUGGUGGAGAGCCCAAAGAACAUGCCGAGGCAGCAGCAGCAGCACGAGGACAAGCAGCAGCGCGAGUCGGAGCAGGUCACGUCCAUCGAGGAGCUUGAUCGUAAGUUGAGCCUCUUUUUCAAGAGCAGCAGUUCCCGAAAGGCAAAGGACGUGAAGCCCAGGGAGGAGGUGCAGAUCGACAGCGGCAUCAACCGCGGUCACGUUGUCGUGAAGGGCGACCUGAGCAAGGCGAAGAGCUGGUAAACGCUACCCACGCAGCCCGUGCUUGCCUGUGGAGUGGGUGGGGGGGGGGCGGGAGAAGGCGGAGAGGAUUUGCAUAUAUGACCUGCACGUUCUCUUUCUUGUGUUUCUCAUGGCUGCCACGCGCACACGCACGAGCUCGGAGGUGCAUGUGAGCUUUUUCCUUCCCCACGGUGUGAGAAUGGGAUACCUUUGCUUCUCUCUCCGUCACUGUCGUGGUGCGUGAGUUGCGGAGGGGGCGGGCGACGCCGGAGACUUCCUCGCUGUUUGCCGCCACCCGUUCUCGUGUGCUUGAGGGACUUUCUGUGGUGCUAUGAAUGAGUUGUGCCUUUUAUUACUGCAUUGGCUCGCAAAGGUAGCGAGUUCUUUCUGCGUCUACAAUAUCUUGCCUGAUCGCGUGGUGACGUACUUGAGUCUGCUUUGCGCCUCUCUUCAGCCACCGUGGCGGCCGGCAAGCACAGGCUGAUGCACGAUUCUCCGUAUGGUGUACUCAUCUUCGAUUCUCAUUGGUGCCGCUGUCCGUGUCUUUAUGAGCCUUUUCUUUUGUGCGCUCUUCUCGCAAUGCAAGCGCGUGCGUCGGCACGGGUGUGUGGCAGAAGUAAGGUGACGUAGUUGUGUGAGGCAACAAAC
rnacentral:misc_RNA from 1 species